rnacentral:tRNA from 2 species
AGGCAAUUAGUUCAAUAAAAACAUUUGAUUUCGGCUCAAAAGCUUGUGGUUAAAGUCCAUAAUUACCUA